rnacentral:rRNA from 1 species
CAAUAGCGUAUAUUAAAGUUGUUGCAGUUAAAAAGCUCGUAGUUGGAUUUCUGGUAGGAGUGACCGUUCCGAACUUGAUUGUUCGUGUAUUGUGUUUUCUCCAGCCAUCCUUGCGGAGAACUUUUCUUGCAUUAAUUUGUAGGGAUUGGGACCCGCAUCGUUUACUGUGAAAAAAUUAGAGUGUUUAAAGCAGGCAAUCGCUUGAAUACAUUAGCAUGGAAUAAUAAGAUAGGACUUUGGUACUAUUUUGUUGGUUUGCAUACCAAAUUAAUGAUCAACAGGAACAGUUUGAGGAUAUUCGUAUGAACAUGUCAGAGGUGAAAUUCUUGGAUUUUGAUCAGACGAACUACUGCGAAAGCAUUUAUCAAGGAUGUUUUCAUUAA